UUAUAUUAUGUUUGUUUCUGUGAGCUCAAGCACAGGUGUGUGUGUGUGUGUGUGUGUGUGUGUUUGUUUGUUUGUUUGUUUGCGCUCGCGUUUGUAUGGUGGAGACGUAACUCUCCACAAGUAAGUGGUUAUUAUAUUAUGUUUGUUUUUGUGGGCUCAGGUGUGUGUGUGCUCGUGUAAGAAUGUUUAUGUGGGGUCAAGCACAGGUGUGUCUGUGUGUGUGUGUGUGUUUGUUUGUGUUCUCAUGAAUGGAAUAAUCCUGGUUGCGUGUGUGCAUGUGUUUCUGUUUAUAUGCGUGUGGAUACAGAAACAAUGUGUAAAUGUUUUGCAAAUUACUUAUUUCUUUAUUUUUUAUAUCACAGACCAUCCUCUGAAAGUGAAUCUGAUGAAGUCUGGAAGCCAAAAAAACAUACUGAGGGACAGAAUGACAGCACCUCAUCAGGAGAGGAGCCCCAUCCUCCACCUUCCCAGAGAGGUUCUGCCAGCAAAACACCAAGAGGCAGAGCACGGGGGAGGGGGAGUUGGUGGUUGAAGGACAUCUCUAUUCCACCAGCAGUGAAGUAGUACAACCGGUGCAUGGGUGGAGUCGACCUAUCUGAUGCCCUGAUCAGUUAUUAUAAAGUCAUCCACAAGACCCAGAAGUGGUAUAAGACUUUUUUUAUCACUUCAUGGACAUUGCCGUUGUGAAUGCCUUUCUUUUCUACAAGGACAUCACAAAAGGAAAAGGACAGGUACCCAUGCACCAGAAGGCCUUUAGGGAGACAUUAGUGGAGGAGCUGGCAGCAGCAGCUGGCACACCAGCUCCAUCAAUACUCCAAGCACUGCACAUCACAAACCUGUGCAUAUCAGUGGACACAGCACUGCAGGUCGUCUGAAGUGCAGACACUGCCAUGCAAAGACAUUAGUAAAGUGCUCCUCUUGUGAUGUGCAUUUGUGCUUUUGUUUUGGCAUGUUGCUAAAAACCUUUGAUAGGUGUUAGGUGUGAUAUACAUGUAUAUAUUUUUUUGUAGAUGUGCCCCCCUAUUUUCUUUGAAUUUGUAAAUAGUUUGAGAUAGAUAUAGUGUGUGAGUUCUAAUAUUAAAUUGUUUUAAUACAUA